rnacentral:lncRNA from 1 species
AUUUGAUUUUGAGUUAGUGUCAUAAGGGACUUAUCUCAUGAGUCUAACCUAAUUAUGUAAGAAGUUAUUUAAAAGCAGAGUUUUCUCCCGCUGGUAGCCUAGGAGGGAGUCAAACAGAUUCCAAGUGAGAAAAGGAGUUAACAUGCCAUUGCUGCUUUGAAGAUGGAAGGAGCCUGUGGCGAGGAUAUGAAGGGCCUCUAGAAGCUGUGAGCAGCCCCCAGCUCACAGCCAGCAAGCAAACAAGGACCUCAGCUCAGCAACAGCAAGGACGUGAAUCCUGCCAAUAACAGAAAUGAGCUUGAAAGAAGACACCAAGCUCCAGAACAUGGUGAAACUAGGAGGAGCAGAGAUGACCUGAUCCCUGAAGUGAACUGCUCAGCUAUUCUGUGUACCUCAGGAGGUCUGCAAGUGUGUGGUUAGGUAAAAACUGAGCUGUGCAAACUCACUGUAUCCAAGCUCUUCUCAUGAGAGAGCAGAACAACCUGGCAAGCUUAAAGGCAAGUGUUUUCGUUCUUUUAAUUAAAUAGGCUGUGACAAAAUUAACAAUAAAACUAGCCCAGAACCAACCAGCCCGGUAAGUGUCGUGCAAAUCUUGCAGUAACAAAAGACCAUCUGAGAGACUACACGUUGGUCUCCAGUCCUAGCAAGCGUCCCAUUCUCUCCACAUUCUUAUCAAUUGUAGCUUGACAUGUUAUCUCCUUGGCACAUUCCAUAGGAAACCAGCCUCUUUCUCCAUCUCGUAGUCGUUCCCCCUCAUACCAGCCUGUGAAAAAGAACAGAGUCCACACCAAACAACAAGUAUUUGGAGUGUGCCAGGCUCCAAGGAUAUGAAAAAGCUGAGAGGCAGCAUCCCUCCCCAGGCUAAGUGCUACGGUGAGAAGAGAAAGUGGGACAGGGAAAGCUUUCGAGGGGGAAUGAAUGACAUGGCAGGGAAAGAACGUGAGCAGAGGCCCUGAAGUGAGAAGGCUGAGAGUAUUUGAACCUGGGCUGAGCUGGGAAAGGAGAUGCUUUGGGUAAAGGAUAGCAGGAAGAAUGCUAUUUUUGAAAGGACGAAUAUUUAGAGAUAAGAACUGGGUCACUGAGGGACUGGGGAAAAAAGAAAACGUCAUGGUUUAGCCUUAGAGAUGAGAAGACAGUACAUAUAUGUGAUCUCAAACAUUAACAUGUCAAGAUUUGGAAUAUGGGCAAUGAUGACAAAAUGACACUCCUCGGGUCUAUAGCACUCUGCAUCCUGGACCACGAGUGUCCCAUAAGAACGCUCCCACUCACCAUCGCUGACACGUUGAUAGAUGAGGACGACGUCAGCCACCUGCAGGGAGAGUUCAUCUGGCUGCUUAGCAGUAAAUGACCUAACGAUUUCCACCUGGGUCAGUGCUGAGGCCAAAAGAGGACAUACUAAGUUUCCAGUAGCAGAGAAAAAACAUGUGCAAUCCAAUAAUGUACACUUACUUAUUUUUCUCUGCAAUUCAGGGCCAGCAUUGAGAGAAACAAGUUGGGCUUCUAAUAAAAAGCAGAACAUCUUUUCUAGCAACUCCCUUGCUUGGCUAUAAGCUUUAGAAUUUUAGAAGCUCAGAUUUGAGAGGCCUUUUAUGAUGCAUGAUUCCCCUCAAUAACAGGUUGAUCAGGAGUCAUUAGUCAUGUCACACAAUGGAACAGAAAACAGCCACUCUGCAUUAGGGAAACUGAGACAUGAAAGAGUUGCUGAUGUGCCAAGGCCAUGCAAAAUCUGCAACAGACACAGUUCUCCUGGCUCUCAUCAGAGUGUCUCCCCAUCCCAACAGCAGCACAUGAAAGUUUCCAAAAAAAAGUUUAGAAAUAAAAUGAGCUCCAACCAAAAGCUGAGAAGUCAUGUUAGACCUCCUCAGAAAUGCUGACAUGUGGCCGGGCACGGUGGCUCACGCCUGUAAU